rnacentral:rRNA from 1 species
GUGCCAGCAGCAGCGGUAAUACGGAGGGUGCAAGCGUUAAUCGGAAUUACUGGGCGUAAAGCGCACGCAGGCGGUCUGUUAAGUCAGAUGUGAAAUCCCCGGGCUCAACCUGGGAACUGCAUCUGAUACUGGCAGGCUUGAGUCUCGUAGAGGGGGUAGAAUUCCAGGUGUAGCGGUGAAAUGCGUAGAGAUCUGGAGGAAUACCGGUGGCGAAGGCGGCCCCUGGACGAAGACUGACGCUCAGGUGCGAAAGCGUGGGAGCAAACAGGAUUAGAUACCCUGGUAGUCCACGCCGUAAACGAUGUCGACCUGGAGGUUGUGCCCUUGAGGCGUGGCUUCCGGAGCUAACGCGUUAAGUCGACCGCCUGGGGAGUACGGCCGCAAGGUUAAAACUCAAAUGAAUUGACGGGGCCCGCACAAGCGGUGGAGCA